GACAUUGGGUUCAAAUGCAGCCGUUGGGCUGAAAGGGCGUUUCUGAAAGAGCUGUUAGCGGCAAGUGGUGCUGUGAAAAUACCUGUCGUAGUCGCGCUUGCACGACAGGUACUCCCCAGGCUCAAAGCGACAUGAAUCCCAUGUGAAUAAAGAGGAAUUGCGUGCAGAGAAAAUGAAAUAACAACCCGAGGUUGUCCGUGGUGGAGGGCAGGAGCGGUGGCCCGAACAGGGCAAUUGCUAAAGAGGUGAUUCUCCUCUGUUAAGAAACGCACACAUUUCCACACGAUUUACCCCUCGUUCUGGGCAGCACAAUGCUCCUGGAGUGUCUUUCUCAACCAAAUACUUCGAUUUCCCGCAUCGGAUUUGGCUAACGUGAAGAGGAAGUCAGGCUUCGCGCCUCCCUCGUUAAAAGGGAGUAAAUAAUAAGAGACUACAGGGACCAACAAAUAAAAUUAGCCUUAGAUUCGAAACUUCCAAAUGGGGACAAACAAUUGGCUAAGCAGGCAGAGGGGCAAAUCUUGACAGAUUUGGCACAGUAAAAAUAAAACUUGCUCACACGCUUAACCUUAAUAUUGCAUAAAUACAGGUUAUGCCUGAGCUUUGUAAUGUACAUCCAUAAAAAGCAAAAGAAGAAACAGAAGGUGAUGCAGAAUGGCAUUCAUUAAGGACUCAAUGUUUUCCAAGAGUCAUUAACUUCAGGAGGUCAGAGUCCAAGCUGGAUUUUCUUCUGGGGCUCAAAACCCAGAGAAGAGAAGCGGGCAAGGAUCCGUUCUUGCAUGCUGUUGCUGAAGAAAUUGCGAGUCGUGUCAGAGGCAGUCACUAGAUGUUUUUUCAUUGUGAGGGAAGAGCCAAAAAGGAAAGGCUGAAGGAGGGAGACAGCAGGGUUUCUCUCCAGGGGCUGAAUCAGAAAGUGCCUGACUGGUGUCUUACUCAUGAGCAGCUUGCUGGAAAUACUUGAAAUUUGAGAUAAUUGGACACAAAGAUGAUACGUAGCUUAGUCCUGCAAGAAGCUGAGCACUCUGGAGUCAUAAAAAGACAUAAGUGUGAAACUGAGUUGUUCAGCUGCAGUCAGCGAGACUGGGCUCACACUGGUGCUUAGUAACACGCUUAUAUC